rnacentral:ncRNA from 1 species
UUAAUUUCGAAGAAGAGAAGAGUAGCUGAUAUUUGAUCUUUAAGCGAACAGGAGAUUGGUGUAAGUCCUGUAAGAUGAUGUUAGUGAAGAGAAUCUUGGAGAAGUUCCUAAGGCUUUGAGCUGAGGUGAGCCGUUUGCUGCGUUAAGGCAUUGAGUGGAUAGCAGUUGCUAUCAAUUUGAGUGGUACCGCGGAUAUAGCCCGUCUCUUAU